AGUGGUACGCGAGCUGGGUUUAGAACGUCGUGAGACAGUUCGGUCCCUAUCUGCCGUGGGCGCUGGAGAACUGAGGGGGGCUGCUCCUAGUACGAGAGGACCGGAGUGGACGCAUCACUGGUGUUCGGGUUGUCAUGCCAAUGGCACUGCCCGGUAGCUAAAUGCGGAAGAGAUAAGUGCUGAAAGCAUCUAAGCACGAAACUUGCCCCGAGAUGAGUUCUCCCUGAGACUUUAAGUCUCCUGAAGGAACGUUGAAGACGACGACGUUGAUAGGCCGGGUGUGUAAGCGCAGCGAUGCGUUGAGCUAACCGGUACUAAUGAACCGUGAGGCUUAACCUUACAACGCCGAAG
rnacentral:rRNA from 1 species